rnacentral:ncRNA from 2 species
AAACCUUCACAUAACUGGCGGAAGUGGGAAAACCACAGGGAGUGUGAAGCGUAUCGAUUAGCCGACCGCCUGGGCAGUUUUA